rnacentral:rRNA from 1 species
UACGUAGGGGGCAAGCGUUGUCCGGAAUUAUUGGGCGUAAAGCGCGCGCAGGCGGUCAUUUAAGUUUGGUGUUUAAGCCCGGGGCUCAACCCCGGAUCGCACUGAAAACUGGGUGACUUGAGUGCGGGAGAGGAAAGUGGAAUUCCACGUGUAGCGGUGAAAUGCGUAGAGAUGUGGAGGAACACCAGUGGCGAAGGCGACUUUCUGGACCGUAACUGACGCUG